rnacentral:rRNA from 1 species
GAUGAACGCUGGCGGCGUGCCCAAUACAUGCAAGUCGAGCGAAUGGAUUAAGAGCUUGCUCUUAUGAAGUUAGCGGCGGACGGGUGAGUAACACGUGGGUAACCUGCCCAUAAGACUGGGAUAACUCCGGGAAACCGGGGCUAAUACCGGAUAACAUUUUGACCCGCAUGGUUCGAAAUUGAAAGGCGGCUUCGGCUGUCACUUCUGGAUGGACCCGCGUCGCAUUAGCUAGUUGGUAAGGUAACGGCUCACCAAGGCAACGAUGCGUAGCCGACCUGAGAGGGUGAUCGGCCACACUGGGACUGAGACACGGCCCAGACUCCUACGGGAGGCAGCAGUAAGGAAUCUUCCGCAAUGGACGAAAGUCUGACGGAGCAACGCCGCGUGAGUGAUGAAGGCUUUCGGGUCGUAAAACUCUGUUGUUAGGGAAGAACAAGUGCUAGUUGAAUAAGCUGGCACCUUGACGGUACCUAACCAGAAAGCCACGGCUAACUACGUGCCAGCCGCCGCAGUAA